AACUUUCCAGCUGGAGACAUGGUACGUUUUUUCCCCAUAGCAUGAAAGCAUGACAUCUUACUGCUUUUCCCUGGAGUGAAGCAGCACAUUCAUUUUUAAUUGUUGACCACUAUAUCAGAAAUCCUAUUUCCCAGAGUUUAAUUGUUUUGCAUGAUGUUUAAUUCAUGGCUUCCCUACAGAAAUCAGCUGUUAACCUUUUAAAAAAAAUAAUGUAUUAUUUAGUAUUUAUUUAUUAUUUAGCAAUAACGUUUUUUAAUUGCACAGGACAAUAUAAUUUAUUUAUAUUUUCUCUAUAAAAUUCCAUGUCCCAGUGUUCCCUCUCCCUCACUGCUCCUUUCUUUUUCUGGCACUUAUGAAGAGCAAUAAGAGCUGUAGAAAUGCUACUGUAAAGGUUUUAAGAACAAUUUUUUUGAUGGUUCUUACUCAGGACAACAUUGAAGGCACAUUUAAAUCCUACUGAAAACUCUAGGCCAAUGCUUAAGUGCUUUUACGAAAUCCAGGCCUAGAUGAGGAUACUUUUCUUGCGUCCUUUCUGUAUUCCCUCUCUUCCAUAUUCUUGCAAAUGGACUGCCCUGCAGGAAAGUUGGGAGGAAUGGCAGAUCUCAAGCCAAAGUUUCAGAGGACUUGUUAGAAACAAUAAUUCGGAGUUCAGAAUUUCUGCCAGAGACCUGAUGUGACAAGUGGUAUUCAUCCAGCCGGGAGACUGUGCCAUCCAGAAUGUGUCUAGCUGAAUUUCACACACAGCAAAGUGCUCUUGGAAAGGCUCCAAGACAAUAAUUAUUGGAUACCAGGGAGCUGCAAAUAAGUGCUAAGGGAUGAGGAAGCACAGCGCUCGUACAGAUAACAUCUCCCCGUCUGGCUGCUCAGAAUCCCCCCUCCGCUUUGGCUGCCAUGACAAAAUCUCCAUCUUCUCUUUCCAGCUGCUAACCGAUGUGGAGCAAGAUGAAAGAGUUGGGUGCCGGGAGACAUUUUGUGGUACGCACCAAGUGCUCAUGCGCCUUUCAAAUCCAGAAACUAGGCAGAGGCUCCAGGAGGCCCCAGCUAGCUCUCAGAACAAAGCUUCCCCAUGAUGACCAUGGCUGCAACCCAAGCUCAGCUGCCCUAUGGCAAUGCUGCUCACAGGAGACAGGGUCCAGCCGUCCAUCACAGCUUGUGAUGCCAAACAGGGAUGUCAGCACAACAUAUUGA
rnacentral:lncRNA from 1 species